rnacentral:rRNA from 1 species
GACGAACGCUGGCGGCGUGCUUAACACAUGCAAGUCGAACGGAAAGGCCCUGCUUUUGUGGGGUGCUCGAGUGGCGAACGGGUGAGUAACACGUGAGUAACCUGCCCUUGACUUUGGGAUAACUUCAGGAAACUGGGGCUCAUACCGGAUAGGAGCUCCUGCUGCAUGGUGGGGGUUGGAAAGUUUCGGCGGUUGGGGAUGGACUCGCGGCUUAUCAGCUUGUUGGUGGGGUAGUGGCUUACCAAGGCUUUGACGGGUAGCCGGCCUGAGAGGGUGACCGGCCACAUUGGGACUGAGAUACGGCCCAGACUCCUACGGGAGGCAGCAGUGGGGAAGAGUGCACAAGGGGCGGAAGCCUGAGGCAGCAACGCCGCGUGCGGGAUGACGGCCUUCGGGUUGUAAACCGCUUUCGCCUGUGACGAAGCGUGAGUGACGGUAAUGGGUAAAGAAGCACCGGCUAACUACGUG